rnacentral:tRNA from 1 species
AAGAACUUAGGAUAACACUUAAACCAAGAGCCUUCAAAGCCCUAAACGGGAGUGAAAAUCUCCCAGUCCUUG